GAAAGCCUUUAUGAAAUCCUCACACCAUCUCCGGACGCAAGGCUUUUGCAUUCAGCUUGAGGCGAUAAGCCAUUUCAAGCCAAGGUUUCUUCACAGAUUUUCAAUAUUCUCAAACUCAUGGAGGAUAAAGGAUGAAGAGAAGCAAACUGAAUUACUAAGGAUGCCACAUUAAUGGAGAGAGCCAAGGGAUGUAAGUGGUGGCUGGCCACCAGCAGAUCUUGAGUGCCCAGUUAUCUAGAGAAAUUCCAUGUGGCUGAUCUAGGAUGGAUCAGGCUGCCAAUGACUCUCUUUCUUCCUCAAGCUAGAAUCCUGCCCCUUUAACACCUUUCCAAAAAGAGGCAGCCCAUGGAUGGUAAGAGCAAGAUGGGAUAGUUGUGCCUGGUAGUAAAAAUAUGUAUCAUCCUUCAUUUCAUCCAGCUUUGAAACUUCUGUUAGCAGCUCACACAUGCCCCCAAGGGUAGCUCCUGAAAUCUACUAAAGAAAAGUUAAAUAGAAUUAGUUUUGUUCAGUAUCUUCCAUUCUGUAAGACUGAUCAUUUGCGGUCAAGAACGACAUAUUAAUGGAACCAAAGAAUAUAUACCAUUAACAUUUUGUCUUAAUUCUACAAAUGUCUAAAAGUCUCUGUAAUUCUCUUAAAAAUAAAAAAAAAUCAAGCAAUAUUAAUUUAA